GAAGCCGACCAUUGCCGAAAUUUACGCCCUGUACGUUUUGCAUGGUGAAGAGCGCAUUUCGGCUUCUGAUCAACUAUCGCCAUAUCCAUUUGCAGUACUAAUGGCACUAGAGUGUUGGUUCCUAAGUGAAAUGAACAAGUACGUGGAUAUCUGUACGGCGGCGGUUACCACCAGGGAGGAGAAGGCUGAAGCCGAGAGAAAGAGCCUCUCUGACUCAUCCGCCCCUGUGACUGCCGCCAAGACCAGCAGGAGCAAGCUCGACAACUGAGCGCCCUCACACGUCAUGGCCGGUGCAGUUCUCACUGCUCUUUCCGAAGGUUUCGAUCCUUACUAUAUAUAGCUCUGCUGGCAUGAAAAUGGUUACAGCGCGUAGCCGAAUGGCGAUAAAA
rnacentral:lncRNA from 1 species